AUUGAACGCUGGCGGCAGGCCUAACACAUGCAAGUCGAGCGAGCGGCGGACGGGUGAGUAAUGUCUGGGAAACUGCCUGAUGGAGGGGGAUAACUACUGGAAAAGGUAGCUAAUACCGCAUACCAUCAGAUGAGCCUAAGUCGGAUUAGCUAGUUGGGUGGGUAAAGGCCUACCAAGGCGACGAACUGUAGCGGGUCUGGGAGGAUGAUGCGCCAAACUGGGACCGAGACACGGGCCAGACUACUUCGGGGGGGAGCAGUGGGGAAUAUUGGACAAUGGGGGGAAACCUGGUCCAGCCAAGCCGGGUGUGUGAAGAAGGCCUUAGGGUUGUAAAGCAUUUUAAGCGAGGAGGCGUUACUCGCAGAAUAAGCACCGGCUAACUCUGUGCCAGCAGCCGCGGUAAUUC
rnacentral:rRNA from 1 species